rnacentral:rRNA from 1 species
UACGGGGGAUGCGAGCGUUAUCCGGAUUUAUUGGGUUUAAAGGGUGCGUAGGCGGGAUGCCAAGUCAGCGGUAAAAAUGCGGUGCUCAACGCCGUCGAGCCGUUGAAACUGGCGUUCUUGAGUGGGCGAGAAGUAUGCGGAAUGCGUGGUGUAGCGGUGAAAUGCAUAGAUAUCACGCAGAACUCCGAUUGCGAAGGCAGUAUACCGGCGCCCUACUGACGCUGAGGCACGAAAGCGUGGGUAUCGAACAGG